AAAUCCACCAUCUUUAUUACCCGGAAAAACUUUGGUCGUCCAAACAACUCAACGAUGCCGAAGUGGAGAGAAGGAUUUGCCGAAAGACUUGGAUUCAUUGAGGGUUCACUAACCCUUCGAGCCAUCGAAACGACGCACACAGUAAAGCGCAUUGGAUGACCACAUCCGAGGAAACGGGGGGGGGUCUGACCAGCUUCCUGAUAGGAGCGGAAACUCGGGAAUAACUUAAGAACCCGGGAACCCCCUGAUCAACAGCAUACUCGCAACAAUCAAAGAAGCGACUGCCCAACUAAGGAGCCGAGCCGUCCUUCAUGUGUGAAAAGCGGAAAUGCCUCAAAUAACCGAUAACAAUAGCCUACCAAGCCACAUUGUCGUAGUGCCUGCCACACAAAAAGGAAA